UACUGUAAAGAAAAUGGUAUAUAGAGACAGUGGCGUAGCCAGUGUAAAAGGUGUGAGCCAUUUUAGGGGAGGCCUGGGGGCAUGCUUCCCCAGAAUAUUUUGAAAUAUAGGGUCCCUAAAAUGCGAUUUCCUGCAUUUUCGGGGUGUGAGUUUGCAUAAGUCCGAAGACUGUAUAAUGCAUAAAAGACAUGUAUAUAUAUAUAUAUAUAUAUAUAUAUAUUUAAUCUUAAAAAUGGUAUAUGUUGCUACUCAGAGUUUCAUGCAAUUUCGCAAUCUUCAGGCAACUGUUAUUACAAGUAAGUUCAGUUUUGUUUGUUGACGCUACCACAGAAUAGGAAGUUAUACCAGAAGCGUAACUCUAGUCGUUUCCCUUAUUGUUUGACG